rnacentral:tRNA from 1 species
GACAGUAUAGCUCAGUGGUAGAGUGCAUGUUUGGCAUGCAUGAGGUCAUGGGUUCAAUCCCCAGUACCUCCA